GGCAGCUGACGAGUCCGUCAACUGACGCUAAAGCUCGAAAGUGCGGGUAUCGAACAGGAUUAGAUACCCUGGUAGUCCGCACGGUAAACGAUGGAUGCCCGCUUUUGGCGAUACAAUGUCAGCGGACAAGCGAAAGCGUUAAGCAUCCCACCUGGGGAGUACGCCGGCAACGGUGAAACUCAAAGGAAUUGACGGGGGCCCGCACAAGCGGAGGAACAUGUGGUUUAAUUCGAUGAUACGCGAGGAACCUUACCCGGGCUUGAACUGCAGCAGAACGAUUGAGAGAUCAUGAGGUCCUUCGGGGACUGCUGUGGAGGUGCUGCAUGGUUGUCGUCAGCUCGUGCCGUGAGGUGUCGGCUUAAGUGCCAUAACGAGCGCAACCCUUUUCCUUAGUUGCCAUCAGGUUAUGCUGGGCACUCUGGGGAUACUGCCACCGUAAGGUGUGAGGAAGGUGGGGAUGACGUCAAAUCAGCACGGCCCUUACGUCCGGGGCUACACACGUGGACCGGCGGUGUGUACAGAGAGCGGGCAGCCGGCAACGUCCGUAUAAUCAUGAAAGCCAUCCUCAGUUCGGAUGCGUGAUGCAACCCGACGCCAUGA
rnacentral:rRNA from 1 species